rnacentral:rRNA from 1 species
GCCAAGGGGGAAAAGCCGGAGGAAGGGACGCCGCGUGAUGGAUGAAAUCCUUUCGGUACGUAAAACAUCUUUUAUCGGGGACGAAGUUUAUUGACGGUACCCGAUGAAUAAGGGGCUCCUAACUCUGUGCCAGCAGGAGCGGUAAUACAGAGGCCCCAAGCAUUACCCGGAAUCACUGGGCGUGAAGGGUGUCUAGGCGGCCAUAUUAGUCUUUCGAAAAAUGUCCGGGCUAAACCUGGUCACCGCGAGAGAAACGGUAUGGCUCGAGGGCGUAAGAGGUACACGGAACUCAUGGUGGAGGGGUGAAAUCCGUUGAUAUCAUGGGGAACACCAAAGGCGAAGGCAGUGCACUGGCAUAUUCCUGACGCUCAAACACGAAAGCCA